rnacentral:rRNA from 1 species
UAAACUGGGAUUAGAUACCCCACUAUGCCUAGCCGUAAACCUUUACUUACAUACAAAUCGCCAGGGAAUUACGAGCUAAGCUUAAAACCCAAAGGACUUGACGGUACCCCACAUCCACCUAGAGGAGCCUGUCCUAUAAUCGAUAACCCACGUUUAACCUCACCAUUUUUAGCCAAUCAGUCUGUAUACCUCCGUCGUCAGCUUACCACGUGAGCGCAAACUAGUGAGCCUAAUGUUAAUCCACCAACACGUCAGGUCAAGGUGCAGCAAAUGAAAUGGAAAGAGAUGGGCUACACUUUCUACUUUAGAAGAAACGAAAAACUACUAUGAAACCUAGUUAGAAGGCGGAUUUAGCAGUAAAAAGGAAUCAACAGCAUUUAUCGUAGUCUUGGGCG